rnacentral:rRNA from 1 species
AUUGAACGCUGGCGGCAGGCUUAACACAUGCAAGUCGAGCGAGCCGCGGACGGGUGAGUAAUGUCUGUGAAACUGCCUGCUGGAGGGGGAUAACUACUGGAAACGGUACCUAUUACCGCAUACCAUCAGAUGUGCCCCGAUGGGAUUAGCUAGGAGGGUGGGUAAUGGGUCACUUAGUCGAAGAUCCCUAGCUGGUCUGAGAGGAUGACGGGCCACACGGGAACUGAGACACGGUCCAGAGUCCUACGGGAGGCAGCGGUGGGGAAUAUUGCACAAUGGGCGCAAGCCUGAUGCAGCCAUGCCGCGUGUGUGAAGAGGGCCUUCGGGUUGUAAAGCACUUUCAGCGAGGAGGCGUUACUCGCAGAAGAAGCACCGGCGAACUACGUGCCAGCAGCCGCGGUAAUUC